UCAUUUACAUUACAGGAAAAUACGUGCUUGAAAACAAACCUAGUAAAUAAUUACACCGAUUAGUGUUAAUCGUGCCAAAACUAUUGAAGGCAAUCGUUCGUUUUGUAAAAAUUUACUUUUUGAAAAGUACAAUGUGAGUUUUUCAGCUAUCAAACUCACCACUCCUGAGGAAGAUAAAAGAAAAAAAUUGGCGACCUUCGCAUACCUCAAAAUCGCCCGACAAGAAACAUUAAUCUUAUCAAUUGGAAAGUGGUUCUAUUUCCUCUUAGAGAGCGGCAAUAAGAAAGUGUCCAUCUCUUGGGAAUAGUGUCGAUGUGCUCGCGGGCUGUAUGUUGAUAAAGCCAUUAAAAAAAAGUUGAUAUUACUUAUUCUGGCCCGAACAAAAUGCAUCCCUGAGAUGACUGGAAAAUUUUGAUUGAACGAUCCAGAUAAAAAUAGGAAGACGUGGAACUAACUAAAUUAUAACCCCUGAAACUAAAAGAGAGGUCUUAUUGCACUAUACAGAUGGAUACGAAAUGAAACUGUGGAUGAGGACAGGUGUCAAAGGCCCAAAUUUGACCUAGCGAAACCUCAAGGCCCCAUAUUAACAAGUUUCAAUGCUGAGAUCUCUACCAUAGAAAUAUUUCCAGGUACUGGGAAAGUGGGAGCAAUUGUUUUGAAGUGGGCACCAAGAUGGAUUAUUGAAGGCAACGAACACGUGGAAGGAACGACACACAAGGAAACCAAAACACCCACAUACCCUUUGGACCAGAACAGGAAAUUGACACACUGAAAACCAUGUUCAAAACAAAACUGAACAAAUGGAAAGAAAAAUGACCACUCAUUGGCUCAAAUCAUCAGGCAAGAAUGGAGAAAGGUAAUACGACUGCCUUUAUAAUGACCAUUUCCCAUUUAGUUACCACCACAAAAAAUGAGAAAAACGGGACUAACACUCUGCCGACGAUUUUAAGAAAAAGCAGAAACAUCAGAAGAUAUUCUACGUGAUUUGAAAGCGUUAACCGUAACUCUGAAAACCUUAUUUUUAUAUAAUUUACACUUGAUUUCCCCUCAGCUGCAAACUACCACAUAUCACUGCUAGCACAAAUGAUAAAAUCUUUCGUUGAACUUAAAAGUUAAGCAGUAUGAUUAUUUAGAAAUCGUGAAAUGCGGUCUGAUGUGUCGUAGGUUUCAGAAAACCAUUUUCU